rnacentral:rRNA from 1 species
CCUACGGGCGGCAGCAGUGGGGAAUAUUGGACAAUGGGGGCAACCCUGAUCCAGCCAUGCCGCGUGUGUGAAGAAGGCCCUCGGGUUGUAAAGCACUUUCAGUGAGGAAGAACGCCUGGUGGUUAAUACCCAUCAGGAAAGACAUCACUCACAGAAGAAGCACCGGCUAACUCCGUGCCAGCAGCCGCGGUAAUACGGAGGGUGUGAGCGUUAAUCGGAAUUACUGGGCGUAAAGCGCGCGUAGGUGGCUUGAUAAGCCGGUUGUGAAAGCCCCGGGCUCAACCUGGGAACGGCAUCCGGAACUGUCAAGCUAGAGUGCAGGAGAGGAAGGUAGAAUUCCCGGUGUAGCGGUGAAAUGCGUAGAGAUCGGGAGGAAUACCAGUGGCGAAGGCGGCCUUCUGGACUGACACUGACACUGAGGUGCGAAAGCGUGGGUAGCAAACAGGAUUAGAUACCCCUGUAGUC